CCUACGGGAGGCUGCAGUGGGGAAUAUUGCACAAUGGGCGCAAGCCUGAUGCAGCGACGCCGCGUGGGGGAUGACGGCCUUCGGGUUGUAAACUCCUUUCGCUUAUGACGAAGCUACUGCUUUUUUGGUGGUGGUGACGGUAGUUUGAGAAGAAGCACCGGCUAACUACGUGCCAGCAGCCGCGGUAAUACGUAGGGUGCGAGCGUUGUCCGGAAUUACUGGGCGUAAAGAGCUCGUAGGUGGUUUGUUGCGUCGUCUGUGAAAUUCCGGGGCUUAACUUCGGUCUGGCAGGCGAUACGGGCAUAACUGGAGUGCUGUAGGGGAGACUGGAAUUCCUGGUGUAGCGGUGGAAUGCGCAGAUAUCAGGAGGAACACCGAUGGCGAAGGCAGGUCUCUGGGCAGUAACUGACGCUGAGGAGCGAAAGCAUGGGGAGCGAACAGGAUUAGAUACCCUAGUAGUC
rnacentral:rRNA from 1 species